GGGGUUAGAUUUAGAUUUAGGGUUUAUAAUUUAGGAUUUAGAGUUUUGUUAGGUAUCAUUCUUUUUUCAACUAUUUUAAAUUUUCUGAAAUAAAAUUUAAUAUUUUUUAUUAAUUAUCUAGGUGGUAUUUUGAUUAGUCGUAAGAGAGGGAAUGAAUUUAAAAGUUCACCGUAGGGGAUGGUGAAUCUAAGUUUUGUCCAUAAUAAAAAGCAAAAGAGAAAAGAGAAAAUAAUGCAAGCUCUCAUACAUCGAUGCUACAUUGUACCCACACUUGCUUAUAAGCAGAUACUUUCUAUUUACCUUUGUUGUAUCGUCAUCCUGGAUCAAUAAUAAACACAUUUUCGCUUUCAAAUCACAUCAAAUUGAUUACUUGCUUGAUAUGUUAGAUUAAACCGUAAAUCUAAUUUUUGAGUGAAUCAUGUGGUUCAUCUGAGAUGGACUGUCCUGCACGUGAAACAACUCUUGAAUUCUUCCGCCAAUCGUCGAACAAUUUUUUACAUCCAGUGUAAAUCAAAUAACACUUAUACACAUACAGAAAAGAGACCCCACAAUAACAUCACGAGAGUUAUACAUCCACACUAAAUCACGCAUACGUCCCUAAGCUCCUUCGGGCUUGGUCUCUAAACCACCCCUUCCCCAGCAGCAU
rnacentral:lncRNA from 1 species